UAAGCUUCCGCAAUGUAUUAUUAGGGAUUUUGUAACAAAUCCAAGAUGUGAAAAUUGGGGUGUUACAAGCACCGUCGUGGUCGCUGCAACUCCAUGCUUCGUCGCCUAAGGAAGAAGAGAAGCAGUGAUGGGACCACCGCUCGUAGGCCAUCUUGCCGUCGCCCGCCACCGUCCUUUCUGGUCGCAACACCAGCACCACUGCCGCCAAGCCAAAUAUUGAGACGACCGCCGUGGCAGCCGCCGUCGCCUUUCGUGGACCCGCCAUUGCCGCCGGAUGAAGGACCCGCCAUCGCAGCCGCCUAUCGCCGGCGUCCAGGACCUCAGAACAAGAAAGAGAGGUACAUCAUCAACUUGGAAUAAUGACUCCACAAACUCUUGAUAUAGACGAGCUGUUUCAUCCUCAGCACUCUGCCAAAGAAAACCAGCAAGGAUACUAAAGGUUAGGAAGAAGAAACAUUUUUAAUUUAGAAAGUAGAAGUUUCAUAGUUCCAAAUUAGUACCUUUUUCUUAGGCUAUGUUUGGCAAACCUAGCUGAAAAGGUAGCUGAAAGUUGAAAA